rnacentral:rRNA from 1 species
AACGAACGCUGGCGGCAGGCCUAACACAUGCAAGUCGAGCGAAGCCUUCGGGCUUAGCGGCGGACGGGUGAGUAACGCGUGGGAACGUGCCCUUUGGUACGGAAUAGCCCCGGGAAACUGGGAGUAAUACCGUAUGUGGUCGAGAGGCGAAAGAUUUAUCGCCAAAGGAUCGGCCCGCGUUGGAUUAGGUAGUUGGUGGGGUAAUGGCCUACCAAGCCGACGAUCCAUAGCUGGUUUGAGAGGAUGAUCAGCCACACUGGGACUGAGACACGGCCCAGACUCCGACGGGAGGCAGCAGUGGGGAAUCUUAGACAAUGGGGGAAACCCUGAUCUAGCCAUGCCGCGUGAUCGAUGAAGGCCUUAGGGUUGUAAAGAUCUUUCAGUGGGGAAGAUAAUGACUGUACCCACAGAAGAAGCCCCGGCUAACUCCGUGCCAGCAGCCGCGGUAAAAC